UCCUGGCUCAGAUUGAACGCUGGCGGCAUGCCUUACACAUGCAAGUCGAACGGUAACAGGUUAAGCUGACGAGUGGCGAACGGGUGAGUAAUAUAUCGGAACGUGCCCAGUCGUGGGGGAUAACGUAGCGAAAGCUACGCUAAUACCGCAUACGAUCUAUGGAUGAAAGCGGGGGAUCGCAAGACCUCGCGCGAUUGGAGCGGCCGAUAUCAGAUUAGGUAGUUGGUGAGGUAAAGGCUCACCAAGCCGACGAUCUGUAGCUGGUCUGAGAGGACGACCAGCCACACUGGGACUGAGACACGGCCCAGACUCCUACGGGAGGCAGCAGUGGGGAAUUUUGGACAAUGGGCGCAAGCCUGAUCCAGCAAUGCCGCGUGCAGGAUGAAGGCCUUCGGGUUGUAAACUGCUUUUGUACGGAACGAAACGGUGAGCUCUAAUACAGUUUGCUAAUGACGGUACCGUAAGAAUAAGCACCGGCUAACUACGUG
rnacentral:rRNA from 1 species